rnacentral:tRNA from 1 species
CAAAGAAUAGUUUAUUAAGAAUUCUAGUUUUGGGGACUAGGGGCAGAGGUUAAACUCCUCUUUCUUUGA